ACGACUCCCGGCAACGGAUAUCUAGGCUCUCGCAUCGAUGAAGAACGUAGCGAAAUGCGAUACGUGGUGUGAAUUGCAGAAUCCCGUGAACCAUCGAAUCUUCGAACGCAAGUUGCGCCCGAGGCCAUCGGGUCGAGGGCACGCCUGCCUGGGCGUCACGC
rnacentral:rRNA from 2 species